AGCGGAUAUAGUCGAAUGGUAAAAUUUCUCUUUGCCAAGGAGAAGACGCGGGUUCGAUUCCCGCUAUCCGCCCACUCCUUAUGGACUCG
rnacentral:tRNA from 1 species